UCCCGAUGGCUGGAAGCACUUGACAUGCAAUCGCUCGUUCCUACACGCGGUCAGAGAGUAUGCUCUAGGCACUUCCACACUUCUAGCUUCAUCGCUGGUCAUCAGACAGCAAAACUGAAGGCAAACGCGGUCCCUAUGACAGUGAGGCCAGGAACUGCUGAGAGCCAAGUAACAGCCAGCCAGCCAGAUGAAAGAGAUGAAAGUGGUGCUGACACAGUUUCCCUGGAAAUGCUUGAAGCCAGUGCUGAGCAAGCAGAGCCCGCCGUCCCUUCUCCAGCUGUUCCACUGCCUGUAAGGACAUGAAUUCUUGCUUACGU